AUUGGAGUGGCAGAGCCGGGUACAAUGCAAAAGACCUAAACCCUUUACCCAGGGGUUCAAUUCCCCUCUCCAAUU
rnacentral:tRNA from 1 species